AUUGAACGCUGGCGGUAUGCUUAACACAUGCAAGUCGAACGGCAGCAUGGUCUAGCUUGCUAGACUGAUGGCGAGUGGCGGACGGGUGAGUAACGCGUAGGAAUAUGCCUUGAAGAGUGGGACAACUUGGGGAAACUCAAGCUAAUACCGCAUGUACUCGAGAGAGUAAAGCUGGGGACCUUUAGGCCUGGCGCUUUAAGAUUAGCCUGCGUCCGAUUAGCUAGUUGGUAGGGUAAAGGCCUACCAAGGCGACGAUCGGUAGCUGGUCUGAGAGGAUGAGCAGCCACACUGGAACUGAGAGACGGUCCAGAGUCCUACGGGAGGCAGCAGUGGGGAAUAUUGGACGAUGGGGGGAACCCUGAUCCAGCAAUGCCGCGUGUGUGAAGAAGGCCUGAGGGUUGUAAAGCACUUUCAGUGGGGAGGAGGUUUGGAAGGUUAAGCGCUAUUCAAAUGGACGUUACCCACAGAAGAAGCACCGGCUAACUCCGUGCCAGCCGCCGCCGUAA
rnacentral:rRNA from 1 species